CUGGAGCCAUCUUCAGUUGUCACCCAUGAACUUAUCAGGAAAUGUAGCUAAAGGGUGUGAAGAGAUAAACGAGCCCCUCAUGGACCUGAAAAAGCAUCAGCUGUAGAAUGUGGUCACUUGAAGAAAAAGCACUGCACUCUGCCGCAGCUGCACUCUGAAUCACAUGACCAUAAAAAGAGGGCCUCGUGGCCUCAUGAUGCACAUAUGGAUCUGUGUAAAGCACUGUCACAGUGUGAAAAUGCUGGUCUCCUCUGCAACAGAGGCUUCUGCAGUGGCCAGUAUGACAUCCAAUCCAGAAAGGCAUAGAAAAGCACAUCUACAAAGGACAGCAUGAAUGAGUGAACCAGAAUUUCCUACUACACAUGCUUUUACUGCCCCCUGCAGCACAAUACGCACAAUUACAGCCCAUUUGAACUACAUUGUUAGCACAAUGUACCCAGAUACAAAUAACUUUUAUUAAAACUAAAAGCUGUCAUACAUAACUACACUAAACAAGAGUAAAACGUUUCCACAGAAAACGGUCUUUAACACCUGUAGGCAACCCUGGUCCUCGAGCGCCCUUAGAUGUUGGAGGCAGGUGCUCCAUUCAACCCCUAAUUUGUGGCAAUGUAGCAUAAUGGCUAGAGAACUGACCUUUAUAACUGUAAGGCAGUGGCUGCGGGUUCAACUCUGUUUCAAUGAA